GGGCGUAUGGUGUAGUGGUAUCACUCAUGCUUUGCAUAGUUACCUCGUAGGUAAUGAUCUUGUAUGCGGUCCAGGGUUCAAACCCCUGUGCGUCCA